CCCAGAGGACGAAGGCUGGUGACGGGAAAAUGAUCCAGGAGUGCCUAGAUCCCUUCCCGUCAAAGACUACAGGUUUCUGGGCACGGGUGAGCUAGACAGAGGCUCCACAUAACGUUACAACCGGACUUUGAGAAUUGCAAAGAGUGUGCGAGCCGGCUUCCAGGUCCUUCUGUGCACACUUCCGGCUCUGUCACCUUUGGCAGUUCGCAUAUCCUGGUCCUCAGUUUUCCUCGCAGUUCUAGAGGACUUUGCGGCCAAGAAGAAAAGGGAGUUCAUAUCAGUCACAACCUGCCUAGUGACUAUAGUACCCAAGACACGCCCUUUCCUUCAGGUAUCCCAGCACCCACUGCGCUGAUGGCGAGAGGAAACUUCCACGUGGUCAAGUGCCAGGACAGCAGAGUGCGCCCCAGUGCGGGGCUUGGCAGCACUCCUGUGUGAACUCAGGCCUCAGUUUCUUCAUCAGGGCAUAGAACCCACUUCAAAGGUUUAACUGAAGAGGCUGUUCUAAGAAGACUACUGAGGUGUGGUAAUCAGUGACCUCCUUAGAGAAGUCUGCCCAGUUGGCAGUGGAACAAAGCCAAAUGAUGCUAAAAUGGAUCAAAAGAGGGUGCGAGGCACAUGCAUUGUUGUGAAAAUUUAAACAUAGUUCAAGGCAAGAGGUGAUUAUCCUGAGGAAUGCAAGCUCCCAAAGAGCCUACCUUGAGGAUUGCUUUUGGGAGAUGAGGUCUGCAAAAGUGUCAAUGAUGACCCCAAAAAUCAGAUUAAGGACAAUAAUGAUGACCAUGAAGAAGAACAAGAGGUCAUAGAUCACUCUAGCAGCAAAGAGGGGUUCCUGAAAAAGAGAGAUGCCGUGAUCAUCCAGGUCAUCUUACUACCCUUCGGUAUGCAGAGUUCGCUGGCAUAAGCACGCGCUCAGAUGAGGAAUCUUGAGGCACAAAAGCAGUUAAGAAACCAGUCCAGAGACCACAUGGAUCAACGAGAAGACUCUUUCAGAAGAAAUUUCCUUGUUCCGCCUUUUGCAAGUGCAAGGAAAUGGUUUCUUAUCUACAACUCUACUGAUCUAGAGUCCCUCUACCAACAGCAGAGUAAGCAGGUAUUUGAUUCUAACUAAAAAACCUGCUCAGUAGGAAGGUGAUGGAACCCACUCAUUUUAUAGACCAUCAAGACAUUAGCCACUUGACUCUGACUGAACAAAAUAGCUUCCAAUGAAAAGGUCCUGUGGAGCAAAAAACUGAUAGAGCUCAUUAUCAUGGACCCUCCUACUCUUAGGGCUACUACAUGUUUUUGCUGAGAAACUAAUUCCAUAAGGACUGACUGAUGAAAGCCACAAAAACAUUCUCCUUGGCAUGUGUUGGUUGAGCCCAAGAAAUAAAGAAAACAAAGGUGGAUAUGCAGGAAGCACCUCCAGAACCACCCUGCAGGCAUCUUGUAUUACUGAAAGGUACAGAAUUGGAUGGGCACGGUGUGCAGCGUGCCCUCCUGGGCUCCUAGGAGCUCGCUUGUUCCAAGAUCCCCCAAACCCAGUAUACAGGGGGCUAGGACUCUCUCAGAUCAGGUACAGCAAUCACCACUGAAAGGAAGAAUCUGUUAUGAGAGACAGAACAUGGGACACUCCCCUAGUUUUCAACAGGUGAAACAUUUUGAACCCGGUACUCACCAGCAAACUGUAGAAGAAUUCGUGGACAAAGAGCCCCAUGGCGCAGAUCAGCAGGUAAAGCAAAUGAUAGAGGAACUCAACAUCAAGCACCAUAGCUCGGUAGCCCCUGGUGAAUGUUCCACAGUUGCCCACAAAGCUCAUCAGAAAGAUGAUUUUAUUGCAGACCUGAGAACGAGGACAGGAAAAGUGAGAUAGCAAGUAUGAUGCCAAACCUCAGACUCUUCGUGAGAGCUCAUGGCAAUUCUCACACGAACAUAUUCCAAUAAGCAUGACAGCAAUUUACAAGGCAUCGUACAUUUGGGGUGAAAACAAAUGCUGGAAUAUGGAACAGCAUCUUUUUGUACAUCAGACCCAUCAAACCCUCCAAGAACCGUUUUGCUGAUGGCACUUACUGGAAAAGAAGACGUGUUUGGGGGCAAGGAAGAAGAGAUGAAAAGGAGAAGAGUUGGAGCACAGAAAAAUCCUGAUUGCCCCAGUCCACACCAUCAGUCAUGGAAUCUAGGGUUUACCCAGAGUUCGUGUACUGAGUCCUCAGUUCCCCCCAAUACUCCUGGAACAGAUGAGCUGCCCAGAGAGUCGCAAGAAUUCAGUGAGCUUUCCAAGCUUGGUGGGAGUGGGGAACUGGUCAUCGGAGCUGGACAAGCUUGGCCCCAGAUGAGGAUGGGUACCAUUUUCUCAAUUCUUCCCAUGCCCAGAGUUCUUCACUAACACGCUGGUACAUAAGAGCAAGAUGAGUACCUUUUCCUGACAUUGAAUCAUUUGUCAUUUCCCUGAGGUCUGAUGAUUACUCUUGGGGGAUGAGGGAGCUGGGAGAGAGUGUUGCUGAUUGGGUGGUCAGCAAUUGAGUUCCCGUUUUUCCAAGGGCUAUGGAGAAAGGAUGUGGCACCAAAGCUAUCACAAAGAGGCAAGAGACACUUUUGAUACUGCCCCCAUCCUAAGCCCACUGUCACCUAGAGGUGAUACCAUGGAUUGGCUGAGCAUUCUCAGUCUUAGAACAAAAAUCCUAUGGCCAUAGCUCUGCAUGUAAUUGUACUUCCUUUUCCCCAGAACUAUUUUUCAAUGGUGCCUCACACUUAGGAUGAUGCUCAAAAAAUAGACUUGGGAGGACUAAUUUCAAUCUCCACACCAGAAGCAAAGUUUCCAAAAGACAAUCUCAUUCAACAUUAUGCCCCUCCAAAGAUGAGCAUGGAGUACGUGAGAAUGGAUCUCUAUUGUGUAUUUCCUUUUCCCAAUGAAGUCAUCGUUUAACUUUAGGACAGCAGCCAACAAUAAAUCCAAUGGCCUUAUAAUGAAGCUUAUAGCAGCAGCCAAGCCUCUGGAAGCUUCCUUCCAAAAUAAAGUUACAGUACAAUUAAGCAGAAACCAGAGUAUUUAAUAAUUGAUAGUUUCAUGUUUGUACUUGGGAACAGGCAAUUUUCCAAACCAUUGAGUUUCAGAGCUAUGAGAAAUUGUCCAGUUUAAAAAUUCCUCAUUUUACAAAUGAGGGAAACCAAGGCCCAGCAAAGGGCUGAAGCUGUAGAGAUCUCAUUGCCCAGGUCAGUAAUCUUCUAGGGUCAGUGACAGGGAUAAAGAAAGUGGCUCGUGCCACCCCUCAACAGAGUAGCUGUCCAGAAAGUCUCAACCUCCGGUGAACAAUUUACUUUUUUUCUAGGUUAAUUGCUGAAGUGAAUUUAAGAUGAUCAAUCAGCUGCUCUGGAAACAACAGCUAUUGGUGUUUCUUCUGGGAGAAGCACAUUUCUGACCUGGAUAUGAAAACCACAGAAGACAACAGAAGAAACAAAUGGCAAGAGUGGCAAAAUAGUGGUAACUGUUGAAGCUAAACAAAGAUGUUGAUGUCCUUUAAUCCCCAGAACAUGUGAACUUUUUAUGUUACAUGGCUAAAAACGACUCUGCGGAUGUGAGUAAGUUAAGGAUUUUGAGAUGGGGAAAUUAUCCUGGAUUACCCAAUGUUAUCACAAAGGUCCUUGUAAGUCAAAAAGGGAGAUAGAAGAGUCAGAGUAAUGCAUGAGAAAGAUUGGACUGGCCAUUGCCGGCUUUAAAGAUGGAAGGAGGGCCAGGAGCCAAGGAAUGCUGGCAGUAUCUAGAAGCUAGAAAAGGCUGUAAGAGGGAAAUGGAUCUCCCAGAGAGCCUCCAGAAGGCAAGCAACUCUGCCAACCCCCUUUCAGACUUCAGACCUCCAGAACUAGAGCAUAAUAAAUUUAUGUUGUUUUCUACAACCAAGUUGGUGUUACAGCAGCAAUAGGAAACUGAUACACCUUCCUUUCCUCCAUCCCUCAGGCUUGUUUCUAUCCAAGUCUACCUAUCCUAGGCACUAUUCAAAUCCUGUCUUCUCCAGAGGCCUUCCUUUCCCAUACUUCCACAAUGUGUGAUUGCUCAAUAACAGCCCUUGUCACAAUGUGCUAGGUAUUACAUCCAUUUAAAAAUAUGCCUGUGCUAUCUGCCCCAUCAGGUGGCAGUUUCCUACAGGAAAGAAUCAUAGCUUAUGCACUAUUGAAUUCCCCACUGUACCCUGUAGCAUGUUACUAUUGUCCCCUGUAACUGCUUACUAGGGGCUAAAAGUUGGUAGGAUCCAUACACCUGCUACAUUACAUCAGAGAGAGAGUGCCAUUAUCCCUGGGAGGCUGGGCAAUUUCAACAACCACAACCAAGGGUAUCUCCUGGUAGCACACUUUUCUAGUUUUGUCUUCUUGCUUUUUAAUGUAAUUGGGCCUUGUUUGAUGAUGACUUGUCUUGUCAGAUUCCAUAUAUAUAGCAGCAGAAUUUCCCAGCUCCACUUUGGUGACUGUGAUAAACAUGAGGGAAAACCCCAAGCUAAAAAGGGUCAGCAUAUGCAAUUCUGCAUUGAUUUCCUCUUUCACUAUCUUCUGGUUUUCCUCACCCUCAGUAUUCACUUCACUAGGGCAAGAUCUGGAGGAGAGGAUGUCAGGCUGGAUCAGAGAGCGGAUGGGAAUGCAUGAAGGGUGUGUGUGUGUGUGUGAAAGAGAGAGAGAGAGAGAAAGCGAAUGGGGAGAGGGAGUGAGGGAGAGAAGAGGUUUCUGUUGAUUACUGCAACUGGGUAUUUUAAUAUUUGCAGAAGAAAAUACUAAGCAGCAUCAUUCUCAGAUGUCACUUUAUGUCUGAGCCCUACCUACAGAUUUCUCAAAGCACAGGUUCACUUGUGAUACAGUCAGGAAAAGGUAAAGCAGCUACAUAAAUAAGCCAGAAAAUUCUUCUCUGCAGACUUAUUAAAAAAGAAAUAAGCUAUUUGGAGGGGAGGGGGCAUGUCAUUAUAAUUGUACCUUCUCCCCUCUCUAAAUAAGUAAAUCAUGUUUAAUUCAGUUAUUAUUUUCAAUUUCCCUCUUAACAGCAAAAAGCUUUGAAGCCAAUUAAAAUCUUUCAGGUGACAACCAUAGUUGUGUUUAAUCUUCACUGAAACAAGAACUGAUUAUUUUUAAAGAAUGAAGUAAGAGAAGGUAAUAGCUACAAUGCAAUAUAAAUCUUGGAAUAAUGAGAUGGCUGUUCCAGGAUAAAAAAAUCAAUCGGUAUCUUAAUUCCCUACUUUACACGCAAAAGACUGGGAGCAGUUGAGUCAUCUUUCCAAGGCCACAGUAGCAGAAUGGAACGAAGAUCCCCCCCAUCUUUUGGGAUUGGGGUGCUCCUAGUCUCCCAGGCUGAAGAGAUCUUAGAAGGAGGACGAGGUAUCUCCCCUCACCAUAACAGGUGAAAACCUUUAUAUUGGUUCCUAAGUCUCCUGGAGAACUUAUAUAUCUAAAUCUAGAUAACAUCAUUCUAAGAGAAUGACUUUAUCUGACCAGUCUCAGUAGAUGCAAACAGUGAAAGGGGUAAGGUAAAAUUUUAGUUUUAAUAACUAUUACAGAGCAUUUGUUUUAGAUAAGUGAACUCAGCAUUUUCCUCUGUUUGGGUUGGAUUGUGUCCCUUACAAAGAUAUCGUCAAGUCCUAACUCCCGGUCCCACAAACUGACCCUAUUUGGAAGCAAUCUUUGAAGACGUGAAUAGUUAAGAUGAGGCCUAAAUAGUUAAGGUGGACCCUAAUCCAGUGUGACUGGUGUCCUCAUAUUAAGAGGGAAAUGUGGACAUGCAGACAGAAGAGAGAAAAAUGCCAUGUGAAGACAGAGGCGGAGUUUGGAGUGAUGCAUCUACAGUCCAAGAAUGCCAAGGAUGGCUGUCAGACACCAGAAGCUGAGAGAGCAAGGAAGGAUUCUCCACUGCACGUUUCCCAUGAGGCAUGGCCCUGCCGGCACCUGGAUUUUGGACGUCUAGCUUCCAGAGCUCAUGGUGCUUUGUAAAAGUUCAAUGUUAAACAUGAUGCUUGAGUUGAAGAGUCUUAGAUGAAGGUCAAAGCAGGCUGUGAGGACCACUGAAGUUGGGGAGAAUCGUAUGGCUUUUCCAUUACAAUGACAAAGCGCUCCCUGUUGAAUUUGGGUAUAAGAGGACGUGUCUCAGCAUGCCCCAAUAUGGGAACAGCUCAACAAGAAUGCACUCAGGGAGGCUGAGAUGUUUCAAAAUACAGCUCGGACAUCAGGAUGGGAUGCAAGCUCAGUUCCCAGAAUUGAAUCUUGGGAUUCAUCAAGAAUCUUUGGAACACCUGAACACGAGUGGGGGCUUUUCAGUAUGCUAAAGGAAUCACCCCCAGGAGUAAUAUGUCAGCUCCUCAAAUAUCCAAGAGACCAGCUUGUAAAGCCAGCAGCUUCAGCACCUUGAAGUCACUAUUUGUACUCCAUGCAACUAUUCUGGUAAUCUAGGGAGUAAAAAUGUCAGUGGUGCUGCAAAAUCAGUCACCUGUAGCCUACUGUUUGUGUGCAACUCAGAGAAAGUCCUCACAGGCCUGUAGGCACAUUCUUGGCCAGUGUAACUUCCCUUAUUGUUAACCAACACUUAAUACCAUUCUGCUAAAUCAAUAAAUGUAUUUC